rnacentral:lncRNA from 1 species
GAAGAUAUGAGCGGGAAGAAACAGAAACUCACUUUCUUGUCUUCUGUGAUGCUAAAGAGGACAGAACUGUACUAAUUAGUCCCCCAAGAGAACGCUUUAUAUGUCAGAAUGAAGAUUUGUCAACAUAUCACUGGCAACGGUUCUGAACCUUUGGCCUGUCUUCCUUUC